rnacentral:tRNA from 1 species
GGGGCUGUAGCUCAGUUGGGAGAGCGCUACAAUGGCAUUGUAGAGGCCAGGGGUUCGAUUCCCCUCAGCUCCA